GCCGGAGUAGCUCAGCGUUGGUUAGAGCGGGUGCCAUACGCGCCAGGUCGGGGUUCGACUCUCCUCCGGCA
rnacentral:tRNA from 1 species